UUUCGAGUGGCUGCUAAUAUGAUGUGUACGACUUCAGACAUUUAUGGACAGGACUGAGAUACAGAAGAGCUACCUCAAGAGAAUGUGACUGGCUAGACUGAAAUUGAGAGGGGAGAUUUUCCCCAAGAUCUUCAGACAUAUGGACCUCAAGGUUGGUGGUGGCAUCAAAGGGCACCUGAUGUUUCUUGGGACUCGGACCUUCAUGGCUCGCUAUGAGGAACCGAUUAUGGAGUUGAAGGUCCUUCACUGAGAGAGCCUGGACUCUGGAUCAGUAAAUAAGUCACCCUCCAUCCAGCUUGUCUACAUCUGUGCCGUCUCAGGCCCAGACAGAGGGAGGCUGUCAGCCUGGGCACUCCAGCAGAUCUUCACUGUCACAGAGGGGCACGGAAGGAAAAGCAGUCUGUAAGACAGAGAAGGACACAUAUGCCUUUACUUUGUACAG